rnacentral:rRNA from 1 species
UACAGAGGGUGCGAGCGUUAAUCGGAAUUACUGGGCGUAAAGCGUGCGUAGACGGUUUCGUAAGUCGGGUGUGAAAUCCCCGGGCUCAACCUGGGAAUUGCAUUCGAAACUGCGAGGCUAGGGUACGGAAGAGGGAAGCGGAAUUUCUGGUGUAGCGGUGAAAUGCGUAGAUAUCAGAAGGAACACCGAUGGCGAAGGCGGUUCUCUGGGCAUUACCUGACGCUGAGGAGCGAAAGUGUGGGGAGCGAACAGG